rnacentral:rRNA from 1 species
GAUGAACGCUGGCGGCGUGCCUAAUACAUGCAAGUCGAGCGAACAGACGAGGAGCUUGCUCCUCUGACGUUAGCGGCGGACGGGUGAGUAACACGUGGAUAACCUACCUAUAAGACUGGGAUAACUUCGGGAAACCGGAGCUAAUACCGGAUAACAUGUUGAACCGCAUGGUUCAACAUGGAACGACGGUCUUGCUGUCACUUAUAGAUGGAUCCGCGCCGCAUUAGCUAGUUGGUAAGGUAACGGCUUACCAAGGCAACGAUGCGGAGCCGACCUGGGAGGGUGAUGGGCCACACUGGAACUGAGACACGGUCCAGACUCCUACGGGAGGGAGCAGUAGGGAAUGGGCCGCAAUGGGCGAAAGCCUGACGGAGCAACGCCGCGUGAGUGAAGAAGGUCUUCGGAUCGUAAAACUCUGUUAUUAGGGAAGAACAAAUGUGUAAGUAACUAUGCACGUCUUGACGGUACCUAAUGAGAAAGCCACGGCUAACUACGUG